CAUAUUCUACUAUUCUUUCAAGGUUGGUGGCAUUUAUUUCAUUGUGCUUGGCGCUUACAUUAACUAUGAUAAAACAAGUAUGCAUACACACUGAAAAUCCAUUAUUAAAUAUGUGAGUCUUGGAAGAAACCAUUAUUUUGCAUACUCUUUUAUUCUUAUUUAUGUGAAAGAAGUUGAAAGAAAGCACAGAACGCCAUGACUGUAUCACCAAGGUCAUCAAAGCCUGGAGGAUCACCACGAUCACCAAAUUCUGAAUCAUCUUCACGAUCUUCAAAAC
rnacentral:lncRNA from 1 species